CACGUAGGCGGCUUGGUCAGUCGGAUGUGAAAGCCCCGGGCUUAACCUGGGAAUUGCAUUCGAUACUGCUAGGCUAGAGUGUAGUAGAGGGAAGCGGAAUUCCAGGUGUAGCGGUGAAAUGCGUAGAUAUCUGGAGGAACAUCAGUGGCGAAGGCGGCUUCCUGGACUAACACUGACGCUGAGGUGCGAAAGCGUGGGGAUCAAACA
rnacentral:rRNA from 1 species